CCUACGGGAGGCAGCAGUCGAGAAUCAUUCACAAUGGGGGAAACCCUGAUGGUGCGACGCCGCGUGGGGGAAUGAAGGUCUUCGGAUUGUAAACCCCUGUCAUGUGGGAGCAAAUUAAAAAGAUAGUACCACACGAGGAAGAGACGGCUAACUCUGUGCCAGCAGCCGCGGUAAUACAGAGGUCUCAAGCGUUGUUCGGAAUCACUGGGCGUAAAGCGUGCGUAGGCUGUUUCGUAAGUCGUGUGUGAAAGGCGCGGGCUCAACCCGCGGACGGCACAUGAUACUGCGAGACUAGAGUAAUGGAGGGGGAACCGGAAUUCUCGGUGUAGCAGCGAAAUGCGUAGAUAUCGAGAGGAACACUCGUGGCGAAGGCGGGUUCCUGGACAUUAACUGACGCUGAGGCACGAAGGCCAGGGGAGCGAAAGGGAUUAGAUACCCUUGUAGUC
rnacentral:rRNA from 1 species